rnacentral:rRNA from 1 species
AGAGGGUGCGAGCGUUAAUCGGAAUUACUGGGCGUAAAGGGUGCGUAGGUGGUUUUGUAAGUAACAUGUGAAAGUCCUGAGCUUAACUUGGGGAUUGCGUGUUAAACUGCAAAGCUAGAGUGUUGUAGAGGAUAGCGGAAUUUCCGGUGUAGCGGUGAAAUGCGUAGAUAUCGGAAGGAACAUCAGUGGCGAAGGCGGCUAUCUGGACAACAACUGACACUGAGGCACGAAAGCGUGGGGAGCAAACAGGAUUAGAUACCCUGGUAGUCCACGCCGUAAACGAUGAUAACUGGUUGUUGGAUGCGAGAGCAUUUAGUAACGAAGCAAACGCGUUAAGUUAUCCGCCUGGGGAGUACGGCCGCAAGGUUA